rnacentral:lncRNA from 1 species
AACUAUUUUGAGAUUUGCAUAUUGCAUAUGACCUUCAAAAUUAGCCCCAGAAUACAUGACCUUUUGAUUUAGUUGCAAUUUGCACCCGGCAGAAGUUCCGACCACUCUCAUGUUUGACCGGCGGUGACGUGGACAUUAUUUUAAAUUACAUGGCAUUACGCGUGGCAUUUAUUACACAGUGGCAAGCCACGCGUUCAAAACGACGUCGUUUUGAUAGGGAGAAAAAAUAAAAAAAAUAAAGAAAAAUGUCUUCUUCUUCAAUCUCCUGCCCGAAGUAGCCCCCACUCCCCUCCCGACCACCGAGCAUUUGAGGCCAUCGAAGCAGCCCCGCCGCUGCGACUUCCUCUCCCGACCACCGAGCAUCCGAGGCCAUCGAAGCAGCCCCGCCGCUGCGACUUCCUCUCCCGACCACCGAGCAUCCGAGGCCACCGAAGCAGCCCCGCUCUGACGCCCCGCCACCGCGACUUCCUCUUCCCCCACGAUCUGCCGCCCUCCAC